GGUUUUGGCUCAGUGGCAGAGCACUUGCCUAGCAUGCAUGAGGCACUGGCUUUGAUCCCGGGCACCA
rnacentral:tRNA from 1 species